GUCACCAGUCCAUCACAGGACCACAUGGAGACAAACGACCAUCCACUAUCAUCCUCACCCCUACGGUGCAUUAAUGCUUCAGCUCCUCCAGCUUAGUCUGGCUAGAGUGUUGCCAGCAUCUCUCCUCUCUUCUACCCCAACCUGUCGAGACAGAUGUCCGUACACUCUGACUCUGGUUCUGUUCCUGUUAAAAUCAUUGCCUCUUGGAUGCUCAUCUUAAAAGUACUCAAGAAACAACAAAGCAGAGUGUGGGACCAUUGAACUCUGAGAGAGGAAAACUGUUGAAUCCCUGAGAACUGCUCGUCUUGAUCCGUUGCUCUUGGACUUCUCCCCCUGCACAUCGUUGGAGGGGCUUUGGACCCAUUGACUAAAGCCCAUAUUAAUCUAGCUAAAUACAGGGGGUAUUACUGCAAUGUCAGCAGAGCAGCUCCUCUUGCUCUCCUUUCACAUCUCUCUGCAGGGUGGAUGAAAACUGGGGCUCCUUGGGAAACAGCUGCUGGAGAUUCAUUUCCUUUAUGGAUGAAUCUCCAGGGUGACUUCAUUCACUCUCUGCCUUGUUUCAUUAAACCGUUGCUCAAACAGAGUACACUUGCCUCCUGAAAAUCCCAUUUUAAUGCAUCUGAUGACUUCUGAGCCCGCAAUGAGAACAAGCCACAUAACAGAUAAACCAUACAAAUGAGCUGCCCACCAGAUCAUGCUCUCCCUCCAUACCUGGACCCACAGGCUGUAAUAUAAACUUUAUAUUUGUCUUGAUUGAUUUCAUUCUGUUUUAUUGGCAAUUAAGCAUGAACUUUGCUUUGGUCUUUUGGUGCAGAACAAACACAGUAACAGGAAGUAGUGUACUCACCAGUGUU